rnacentral:rRNA from 1 species
AGAGUUUGAUUCUGGCUCAGAACGAACGCUGGCGGCGUGGAUAAGACAUGCAAGUCGAACGGGAACUUAAUAGUGGUAACACUUGAAAGUUCUAGUGGCGAAAGGGUGAGUAUCACGUGGGUAAUUUGCCCUAAAGUUGGGGACAACUCAUCGAAAGAUGAGCUAAUACCGAAUGUGAAUUUCCGGUGGCAUCACUGGGAAUUCAAAGCUGGGGAUCUUCGGACCUGGCGCUUUAGGAUAAGCCCGCGGCCUAUCAGCUUGUUGGUGAGGUAAAAGCUCACCAAGGCUAGGACGGGUAGCUGGUUUGAGAGGAUGGUCAGCCACACUGGAACUGAGACACGGUCCAGACACCUACGGGUGGCAGCAGUCGAGAAUCAUUCACAAUGGGCGAAAGCCUGAUGGUGCGACGCCGCGUGGGGGAUGAAGGUCUUAGGAUUGUAAACCCCUGUCAUUUGUUAGUAAACCUUUCCGGUUAAUAGCCGGGAAGCUGAUAGUCGCAAAAGAGGAAGGGACGGCUAACUCUGUGCCAGCAGCCGCGGUAAUACAGGGGUCCCAAGCGUUGUUCGGAUUUACUGGGCGUAAAGGGUGCGCAGGCGGCAAGGUAAGUUUGGUGUGAAAGCUUCGAGCUCAACUCGGAAAAUGCACUGAAUACUGCUUUGCUAGAGGAUCGGAGGGGAGACUGGAAUUCUAGGUGUAGCAGUGAAAUGCGUAGAUAUCUAGAGGAACACCAAUGGCGAAGGCAAGUCUCUGGACGAUUCCUGACGCUGAGGCACGAAAGCUAGGGGAGCGAACAGGAUUAGAUACCCUGGUAGUCCUAGCCGUAAACG